ACGAACGCUGGCGGCGUGCUUAACACAUGCAAGUCGAACGGAAAGGCCCUGCUUUUGUGGGGUGCUCGAGUGGCGAACGGGUGAGUAACACGUGAGUAACCUGCCCUUGACUUUGGGAUAACUUCAGGAAACUGGGGCUAAUACCGGAUAGGAGCUCCUGCUGCAUGGUGGGGGUUGGAAAGUUUCGGCGGUUGGGGAUGGACUCGCGGCUUAUCAGCUUGUUGGUGGGGUAGUGGCUUACCAAGGGUUUGACGGGUAGCCGGCCUGAGAGGGUGACCGGCCACAUUGGGACUGAGAUACGGCCCAGACUCCUACGGGAGGCAGCAGUGGGGAAUAUUGCACAAUGGGCGGAAGCCUGAUGCAGCAACGCCGCGUGCGGGAUGACGGCCUUCGGGUUGUAAACCGCUUUCGCCUGUGACGAAGCGUGAGUGACGGUAAUGGGUAAAGAAGCACCGGCUAACUACGUG
rnacentral:rRNA from 1 species